rnacentral:rRNA from 1 species
UACAGAGGAGCCAAGCGUUGUCCGGAUUGACUGGGCGUAAAGCGCACGCAGGCGGUUGCGCGCGUGGGGGGUGAAAUCUGGCCGCUUAACGGCCAGGCGCCAUCCCAUACGGCGCGACUGGAGUGAUGCAGAGGUCGAUGGAAUUGCCGGUGUAGUGGUGAAAUGCGUAGAGAUUGGGAAGAACACCAGUGGCGAAGGCGGCUAUCUGGACGGUUUCUGACGCUAAGACGCGAAAGCGUGGGGAGCAAACAGG